rnacentral:tRNA from 1 species
UGGGGCGUCGCCAAGCGGUAAGGCAACGGUUUUUGGUACCGUCAUACGCAGGUUCGAAUCCUCCCGCCCCAGCCA